rnacentral:rRNA from 1 species
UGGAUGAUGUGGAUUAAUUCGAUGCAACGCGAAAAACCUUACCUACCCUUGACAUGUCCGGAAUCCUGCAGAGAUGCGGGAGUGCCCGAAAGGGAAUCGGAACACAGGUGCUGCAUGGCUGUCGUCAGCUCGUGUCGUGAGAUGUUGGGUUAAGUCCCGCAACGAGCGCAACCCUUAUCAUUAGUUGCUACGCAAGGGCACUCUAAUGAGACUGCCGGUGACAAACCGGAGGAAGGUGGGGAUGACGUCAAGUCCUCAUGGCCCUUAUGGGUAGGGCUUCACACGUCAUACAAUGGUCGGUACAGAGGGUUGCCAAGCCGCGAGGUGGAGCCAAUCCCAGAAAGCCGAUCGUAGUCCGGAUUGUUCUCUGCAACUCGAGAGCAUGAAGUCGGAAUCGCUAGUAAUCGCGGAUCAGCAUGUCGCGGUGAAUACGUUCCCGGGUCUU